CAAUUUCACAAAAUGAUUUCGUGAAAAUUUCGUUCGAAAAUUUCGACGUUUGGGCACUCAAUUUAGCCAAAAGGACUAAAUUGUAAAAAGUGCAAAAGUUGAGUUCUACAUGUUAGAGGUGUCCAAUUGUUAUGAAACUUUAAAUUAGAGGUCCUUAUAUGGUAACUAUACCAUUGGUAACUUGGUAGACAAAAAUGGACAUGAGAUAAGUGAAAUAGAAAAUUUUUAAGUUAGGGGCAAUUUGGUAAUCUAGUAAUUAAAAUGAAUUAAAAGGGAAAAAGAUGACAAAUUAUGCUCAUCUUCUUCAUAUGAACGAAAUCAGCAAGGGGGGAAGCCAUAGUUAGGGUUUUCAAGCUUCCAAGCUCCAUAAUCAAGAAGUACGAAACUCGAGGUUAGACAAAGGGAAGAAUAAAGUUGAAGACUAAGUUGGUGAAUUUGGCUAUAAUUGGUACCGAGUAUUGCAAAGCUACUUCAAGGAUCCUAAAGAAGUCGGAGAUCGUCCACACUAUCAACCACAAGCGCU